rnacentral:rRNA from 2 species
CGUAACUAUAACGGUCCUAAGGUAGCGAAAUUCCUUGUCGGGUAAGUUCCGACCCGCACGAAAGGCGUAACGAUUUGGGCACUGUCUCAACGAGAGACUCGGUGAAAUCAUAGUACCUGUGAAGAUGCAGGUUACCCGCGACAGGACGGAAAGACCCCGUGGAGCUUUACUGUAGCCUGAUAUUGAAAUUCGGCACAGCUUGUACAGGAUAGGUAGGAGCCUUUGAAACGUGAGCGCUAGCUUACGUGGAGGCGCUGGUGGGAUACUACCCUAGCUGUGUUGGCUUUCUAACCCGCACCACUUAUCGUGGUGGGAGACAGUGUCAGGCGGGCAGUUUGACUGGGGCGGUCGCCUCCUAAAAGGUAACGGAGGCGCUCAAAGGUUCCCUCAGAAUGGUUGGAAAUCAUUCAUAGAGUGUAAAGGCAUAAGGGAGCUUGACUGCGAGACCUACAAGUCGAGCAGGGUCGAAAGACGGACUUAGUGAUCCGGUGGUUCCGCAUGGAAGGGCCAUCGCUCAACGGAUAAAAGCUACCCCGGGGAUAACAGGCUUAUCUCCCCCAAGAGUUCACAUCGACGGGGAGGUUUGGCACCUCGAUGUCGGCUCAUCGCAUCCUGGGGCUGUAGUCGGUCCCAAGGGUUGGGCUGUUCGCCCAUUAAAGCGGUACGCGAGCUGGGUUCAGAACGUCGUGAGACAGUUCGGUCCCUAUCCGUCGUGGGCGUAGGAAAUUUGAGAGGAGCUGUCCUUAGUACGAGAGGACCGGGAUGGACAUACCUCUGGUGUACCAGUUGUCGUGCCAACGGCAUAGCUGGGUAGCUAUGUGUGGACGGGAUAAGUGCUGAAAGCAUCUAAGCAUGAAGCCCCCCUCAAGAUGAGAUUUCCCAACUUCGGUUAUAAGAUC